rnacentral:sRNA from 1 species
CAGUUUCAAAGAUUUUGCCCAGGGAUGACAAAGCAUGUGGACCACUGGGUUGAAGCAUCAAAGAAUCAGAGCUGAGGGCCCUCCAUGCUGAGGGAGAGUUCUGACUUGAGGGCUAUCAGUGGGAAGGGACCUGGAAGGUGGAGAUGUUGCAGGAUGCAUUGGGAGAGGGAAGAGGCUUGGCAAGGAGAAGGGGCAGAGGGGAGGAUUGUGCCACUGAUUUGCCUCCUGGUUUUUCCUCUCAUCUUCUAGUGUGAUUCUGGAGAGUGACCCCCAGCAAGUGAUCCAGAAGGUGAAUUUUAGGGUAGAUGAUGGCGGCUUGACUGAACAGAGUGUGGCCCAGGUCUCUCUGCUCAGACUAAUCCUGCUUGUAUGGAACUCCCCGCCCUGGCGCUAACUCCUCGUGCUGUGGUGGCCCUACCGAGAUGAGCCUGUGCCGUCUCGUGUGGAGUCCCAGGUUCUUCAGUCUGCCAAGGAACAAAUUAAAUGGUCGUUAUUGAAAUGAAGGCUGUGGAUUCAAGGCUCCCUGCCCCCCAGACCAUUUCCCCAAUCCUGGCAAAAGCCCAAAGAUCCCAGGGUCAAGAGAGACCCCUUUGCAUCCCCAGGUCCUCCCGGAACGGACUCCUAAGGUCUCCAGCCAGGGAUUCUGAGAUGCAAAGGUUUGGCCUCAGGAGAGUCACCUCUUCUCACGGCCCUGGCCUUAACUCAUAUCUUAGGCAUUCCUGGCCCCAGGGCCCUAAUAAACCUGCUUUUGUCUUCUGCCGA